rnacentral:rRNA from 1 species
AUUGAACGCUGGCGGCAUGCCUUACACAUGCAAGUCGAACGGCAGCGGGCCUUCGGGUGCCGGCGAGUGGCGAACGGGUGAGUAAUGCAUCGGAACGUGCCAUUGAGUGGGGGAUAACGUAGCGAAAGUUACGCUAAUACCGCAUAUUCUGUGAGCAGGAAAGCAGGGGACCGCAAGGCCUUGCGCUCUUUGAGCGGCCGAUGUCAGAUUAGCUAGUUGGUGAGGUAAAAGGCUUACCAAGGCGACGAUCUGUAGCGGGUCUGAGAGGAUGAUCCGCCACACUGGAACUGAGACACGGUCCAGACUCCUACGGGAGGCAGCAGUGGGGAAUUUUGGACAAAUGGGCGCAAGCCUGAUCCAGCCAUGCCGCGUGAGUGAAGAAGGCCUGGUGUAA